UCCAAAUGCAGCACAGUGAAGUGUGGUGUGUCUUUAGAGCAGUGGCAGAAAUCAAAUAAGGUACUUAUAAUGAGCCUUUAAAAACUUCGGUCCAAAACCUAAAAACCAACUCCUUAUUUGGGCGUAAUUCAUUCACAAGGAGACAUGCUCACUUACUCACACAUAGGCACAGACAGAAGCUCCAAAUGAGGAAUCCGUGUAGGAAUGUGGACUUGUUGAUGGCAAAUUAUCCAUUCUCUGGGGUGACGAGCAGGCUGCAGACAGACAACUGAUGACUGAAGUCCCGUCAAAAGACAGAUCCUGCCUCAGGAAACCCACUGUCAAAAACUACAGUAAACAGAGUGCAGACGGAGGUGGACGGUGGGGUUUCCCAGUGACAGUGUACCUUCCACCAGCUGAAACAUUAACCUUUGUCCUGGAGACCUUCUCAGCUGCUCGCUUUUUCAGACGUCUGCAACAGUGAGACAUCCAAAUUCCAUCACAUACAGGGGAGAGACCACAUGCAAAUACGCACACAUACGCGCCGUCUCUGGGCUGCACACAUAAUACAUUUCUUUAAGCUUCUCCUGCACUCAUGCAACUGAAGACUAAAAAAGGACAGAGGGACUGACAGCACAGAAGAAUCUGACUGAAAGCAGGUUGGCUUUACUCCAGUUGUUGUUGUCUGUGCAUUAUGUGACCAACCAAAUCCCCCCCAAUCCUGGAUCAUUCCCCUGAGCCUCAGCCUUCACACAUGCUUGAGAGAAAACACACAUUUCCCCUCAGACUACUGUGAACCAUCUGCAGGGGAUGAAUAAAAGGCCUUCCACUGGACCGCAGCCAGGAAUGCUUGCAGUCAUACUGGAAGAACAAACUGGGCAAAGAAAACGGAGGUCUGAGAGUCCACUAAAGUAAUUGCUGUCCUCACAUACCACACAGAGCUGUCAGACAUUUUGGCACAUUAAAUGAUAAAUCAAUAAUCAAAUUUGUUGCCAAUCAUAUUUCUGUCGCUAAUUGUUUCAACUUUACCUGUUCUUUUCAUAAAUAAAUACUGAGACUUGAA